rnacentral:precursor_RNA from 10 species
UAUUGUCAAUGAGUACUGAUUGCAUGGCUAGCAUUGAAGUGGCAGUGAUGUGCUGAUGUACUGUCAUAUCACAGCCAGCUUUGAUGACAGGCAAGUAAUCUUCACAGCUAAAUAGUCAA